rnacentral:tRNA from 1 species
GCCGCCGUAGCUCAGUUAGGUAGAGCAGCGGGCUGUUAACCCGUUGGUCGACGGUUCGAGUCCGUCCGGCGGCGCCA